rnacentral:rRNA from 1 species
AGAGUUUGAUCCUGGCUCAGGACGAACGCUGGCGGCGCGCCUAACACAUGCAAGUCGAACGAGCGAGAGAGAGCUUGCUUUCUCGAGCGAGUGGCGAACGGGUGAGUAACGCGUGAGGAACCUGCCUCAAAGAGGGGGACAACAGUUGGAAACGACUGCUAAUACCGCAUAAGCCCACGGCUCGGCAUCGAGCAGAGGGAAAAGGAGCAAUCCGCUUUGAGAUGGCCUCGCGUCCGAUUAGCUAGUUGGUGAGGUAAUGGCCCACCAAGGCAACGAUCGGUAGCCGGACUGAGAGGUUGAACGGCCACAUUGGGACUGAGACACGGCCCAGACUCCUACGGGAGGCAGCAGUGGGGAAUAUUGCACAAUGGGGGAAACCCUGAUGCAGCGACGCCGCGUGGAGGAAGAAGGUCUUCGGAUUGUAAACUCCUGUUGUUGAGGAAGAUAAUGACGGUACUCAACAAGGAAGUGACGGCUAACUACGUGCCAGCAGCCGCGGUAAAACGUAGGUCACAAGCGUUGUCCGGAAUUACUGGGUGUAAAGGGAGCGCAGGCGGGAAGACAAGUUGGAAGUGAAAUCUAUGGGCUCAACCCAUAAACUGCUUUCAAAACUGUUUUUCUUGAGUAGUGCAGAGGUAGGCGGAAUUCCCGGUGUAGCGGUGGAAUGCGUAGAUAUCGGGAGGAACACCAGUGGCGAAGGCGGCCUACUGGGCACCAACUGACGCUGAGGCUCGAAAGUGUGGGGAGCAAACAGGAUUAGAUACCCUGGUAGUCCACACCGUAAACGAUGGAUACUAGGUGUAGGAUGUGAUGAACAUUCUGUGCCGUCGCAAACGCAAUAAGUAUCCCACCUGGGGAGUACGGCCGCAAGGUUGAAACUCAAAGGAAUUGACGGGGGCCCGCACAAGCAGUGGAGUAUGUGGUUUAAUUCGAAGCAACGCGAAGAACCUUACCAGGGCUUGACAUAUACAGGAAUAAUAUAGAGAUAUAUUAGCUCUUCGGAGUCUGUAUACAGGUGGUGCAUGGUUGUCGUCAGCUCGUGUCGUGAGAUGUUAGGUUAAGUCCUGCAACGAGCGCAACCCCUAUUCUUAGUUGCCAGCAUGUAAAGAUGGGAACUCUAGGAAGACUGCCGGUGAUAAAUCGGAGGAAGGUGGGGACGACGUCAAAUCAUCAUGCCCUUUAUGUCCUGGGCUACACACGUACUACAAUGGCUAUAACAAAGAGAAGCGAAACAGUGAUGUAGAGCAAAACUCAAAAAAGUAGUCUCAGUUCGGAUUGAAGGAUGAAAUUCGCCUUCAUGAAGCCGGAAUUGCUAGUAAUGGCAGGUCAGCAUACUGCCGUGAAUACGUUCCCGGGCCUUGCACACACCGCCCGUCA